rnacentral:tRNA from 1 species
GGGCGUAUAGCUCAGCGGUAGAGCCCUUCGCUUACAACGAAGUGGUCGGGGGUUCGAUCCCCUCUGCGCCCACCU